rnacentral:rRNA from 1 species
GACCGUGCGAAGGUAGCAUAAUCCUUAGUUUUUUAAUUGAAGGCUAGAAUGAAUGGUUGGACAAGAAAUAAUCUGUCUUAGAUUAAUAUAUUGAAUUUAACUUUUAAGUGAAAAGGCUUAAAUGAUCUGAAGGGACGAUAAGACCCUAUAAAACUUUAUAUUGAAAAGUGAUAGGUAUGAUUUGUUUGAGGGGUUAUUACUUUAAAGUAUUUGGUUGGGGUGACAAAAAUAGAAUAGAAAGUAACUGUUUUUUUUUUUAACAAUAAUGUUUGGGUUAGUGAUCCUAAAAUGGAUUAAAGAUUAAGUUACUUUAGGGAUAACAGCGUAAUUUUCUUUAAGAGUUCUUAUCGAUAAGAAAGUUUGCGACCUCGAUGUUGAAUUAAAGGUUCUUUAUGGAGUAGAGAUUAUAAAAGAAGGUCUGUUCGACCUUUAAACCUUCACAUGAUUUGAGUUCACACCGGUGUGAGCCAGGUUGGUUUCUAUC